rnacentral:tRNA from 1 species
GCCCAGGUGGCGAAAUUGGUAGACGCAUCAGCUUCAGGUGCUGACGCCGCGAGGUGUACCGGUUCGAGUCCGGUCCUGGGCACCA